ACUUAAGGCAUUGGCUUAUGAAAUUGUGGGGGCUGGCUUAGCAAGUCUGAAGUCCAUCGGGAAGGCAGGCAAUCGGGAAGAAACGGUCACAAGCAGACGGAAGCCCCAGGCACACAGACCAAAGCUGUUCAUCUACAGGCAGGAAGAGAAGAUCAAAAGCAAAUGGCAAACGCAUUCACAAGAGCUUCUGGAUGGAAGAAUGUGAUUGAAGAGGAGAGGCAUGUGAGUGAGUGAUAUAAACGAAACAAGCAUUGAGAAGGGUGUCAAGCUGCUGGGAGUGGCUCAGGUGCCCGCUCAGAGCCCGCUGCAGACGUCUGCCUCCCUGGCCUCUUGGGCCCUUGCUCUCCCCACUGUGGACACCUAAGGCAUGCCCAGGAAAGACCACAACUUCAGAUCGGAAGAGUAGAUACAGUGACCCCCGAGGCCCGUGCGCCCCAGAGCCCAU